rnacentral:rRNA from 1 species
GACGAACGCUGGCGGCGUGCUUAACACAUGCAAGUCGAACGGAAAGGCCCUGCUUUUGUGGGGUGCUCGAGUGGCGAACGGGUGAGUAACACGUGAGUAACCUGCCCUUGACUUUGGGAUAACUUCAGGAAACUGGGGCUAAUACCGGAUAGGAGCUCCUGCUGCAUGGUGUGGGUUGGAAAGUUUCGGCGGUUGGGGAUGGACUCGCGGCUUAUCAGCUUGUUGGUGGGGUAGUGGCUUACCAAGGCUUUGACGGGUAGCCGGCCUGAGAGGGUGACCGGCCACAUUGGGACUGAGAUACGGCCCAGACUCCUACGGGAGGCAGCAGUGGGGAAUAUUGCACAAUGGGCGGAAGCCUGAUGCAGCAACGCCGCGUGCGGGAUGAUGGCCUUCGGGUUGUAAACCGCUUUCGCCUGUGACGAAGCGUGAGUGACGGUAAUGGGUAAAGAAGCACCGGCUAACUACGUG